rnacentral:rRNA from 1 species
AGUGAACGCUGGCGGCAGGCCUAACACAUGCAAGUCGAACGGCAGCACAGUAAGAGCUUGCUCUUACGGGUGGCGAGUGGCGGACGGGUGAGGAAUACAUCGGAAUCUACUUUUUCGGGGGGGAUAACGUAGGGAAACUUACGCUAAUACAGCAUACGAUCUACGGGGGAAAGCAGGGGAGCUUCGGACCUUGCGCGAAUGAAUGAGCCGAUGUCGGAUUAGCUAGUUGGCGGGGUAAAGGCCCACCAAGGCGACGAUCCGUAGCUGGUCUGAGAGGAUGAUCAGCCACACUGGAACUGAGACACGGUCCAGACUCCUACGGGAGGCAGCAGUGGGGAAUAUUGGACAAUGGGCGCAAGCCUGACCCAGCCAUACCGCGUGGGUGAAGAAGGCCUUCGGGUUGUAAAGCCCUUUUGUUGGGAAAGAAAAGCAGCAGGUUAAUACCCCGCUGUUCUGACGGUACCCAAAGAAUAAGCACCGGCUAACUUCGUG